UACGAAGGGGGCUAGCGUUGCUCGGAAUCACUGGGCGUAAAGCGUACGUAGGCGGAUUGUUAAGUCAGGGGUGAAAUCCUGGAGCUCAACUCCAGAACUGCCUUUGAUACUGGCGAUCUUGAGUCCGGGAGAGGUGAGUGGAACUGCGAGUGUAGAGGUGAAAUUCGUAGAUAUUCGCAAGAACACCAGUGGCGAAGGCGGCUCACUGGCCCGGUACUGACGCUGAGGUGCGAAAGCGUGGGGAGCGAACAGG
rnacentral:rRNA from 1 species